AUUGAACGCUGGCGGCAGGCCUAACACAUGCAAGUCGAGCGGAUGAAGGGAGCUUGCUCCUGGAUUCAGCGGCGGGCGGGUGAGUAAUGCCUAGGAAUCUGCCUGGUAGUAGGGGAUAACGUCCGGAAACGGGCGCUAAUACCGCAUACGUCCUGAGGGAGAAAGUGGGGGAUCUUCGGACCUCACGCUAUCAGAUGAGCCUAGGUCGGAUUAGCUAGUUGGUGGGGUAAAGGCCUACCAAGGCGACGAUCCGUAACUGGUCUGAGAGGAUGAUCAGUCACACUGGAACUGAGACACGGUCCAGACUCCUACGGGAGGCAGCAGUGGGGAAUAUUGGACAAUGGGCGAAAGCCCGAUCCAGCCAUGCCGCGUGUGUGAAGAAGGUCUUCGGAUUGUAAAGCACUUUAAGUUGGGAGGAAGGGCAGUAAGUUAAUACCUUGCUGUUUUGACGUUACCAACAGAAUAAGCACCGGCUAACUUCGUG
rnacentral:rRNA from 1 species